rnacentral:snRNA from 1 species
GUGUUAGGGCACUUCAGCAGCACGUAGAGUAAAUUAGAAUGAUGCAGAGAGUGUUAGUACCAUGCCUCUGUGCAAGGAGGACACAUAAAUUCAUGAUGCAUUCAAUAUUUUU